rnacentral:rRNA from 1 species
UACGUAGUGUGCAAGCGUUAAUCGGAAUUACUGGGCGUAAAGCGUGCGCAGGCGGUUUUGUAAGUCUGUCGUGAAAGCCCCGGGCUCAACCUGGGAAUUGCGAUGGAGACUGCAAGGCUUGAAUCUGGCAGAGGGGGGUAGAAUUCCACGUGUAGCAGUGAAAUGCGUAGAGAUGUGGAGGAACACCGAUGGCGAAGGCAGCCCCCUGGGUCAAGAUUGACGCUCAUGCACGAAAGCGUGGGGAGCAAACAGG